rnacentral:rRNA from 1 species
AUUGAACGCUAGCGGCAUGCCUUACACAUGCAAGUCGAACGCGUGGCGGACGGGUGAGUAAUGUAUCGGAAUGUGCCCAGUAGUGGGGGAUAACUACGCGAAAGGUAGCUAAUACCGCAUACUAUUGGCGCCGCCUAUAUGGGAUUAGCUAGUUGGUGGGGUAAAGGCUAACCAAGGCGACGAUCCGUAGCUGGUUUGAGAGGAUGACCAGUCACACUGGAACUGAGACACGGCCCAGACUCCUACGGGAGGCAGCAGUGGGGAAUAUUGGACAAUGGGCGAAAGCCUGAUCCAGCCAGGCCGCGUGUGUGAAGAAGGCCUUCGGGUUGUAAAGCACUUUUGGCAGGGAAGCGGUACCUGCAGAAUAAGCACCGGCUAACUACGUGCCAGCAGCCGCGGUAAUAC